rnacentral:rRNA from 1 species
UACGUAGGGUGCGAGCGUUAAUCGGAAUUACUGGGCGUAAAGCGUGCGCAGGCGGUGAGUUAAGUCUGAUGUGAAAGCCCCGGGCUCAACCUGGGAAUGGCAUUGGAAACUGGCUCGCUGGAGUGUGGCAGAGGGGGUGGAAUUCCGCGUGUAGCAGUGAAAUGCGUAGAGAUGCGGAGGAACACCGAUGGCGAAGGCAGCCCCCUGGGCCAACACUGACGCUCAGGCACGAAAGCGUGGGGAGCAAACAGG